AACGAACGCUGGCGGCAUGCCUAACACAUGCAGGUCGAACGAGACCUUCGGGUCUAGUGGCGCACGGGUGCGUAACGCGUGGGAACCUGCCCUUAGGUUCGGAAUAACUCCCCGAAAGGGGUGCUAAUACCGGAUAAUGUCUUCGGACCAAAGAUUUAUCGCCUUUGGAUGGGCCCGCGUUGGAUUAGCUAGUUGGUAGGGUAAAAGCCUACCAAGGCGACGAUCCAUAGCUGGUCUGAGAGGAUGAUCAGCCACACUGGGACUGAGACACGGCCCAGACUCCUACGGGAGGCAGGAGUGGGGAAUAUUGGAACAUGGGGGAAAGCCUGAUCCAGCAAUGCCGCGUGAGUGAUGAAGGCCUUAGGGUUGUAAAGCUCUUUUACCCGGGAUGAUAAUGACAGUACCGGGAGAAUAAGCUCCGGCUAACUCCGUG
rnacentral:rRNA from 1 species